UACAAUGUUUUGACUAUUCGUCUUAUUUGAAAUUUUUGUACGACUAAUAUUUUUAUUCUUCCUAGAUGAUAAAACAUGAAUAAUAAUUUAUGCGUGACUAAUUUUUUAAGUUUUUAUAUAAUUUUUUUAAAUAAGACGAAUGGUCAAACGUUGGACACGGAAAAACA
rnacentral:pre_miRNA from 1 species